GGCUCAGAGCGAACGUUAGCGGCGGGCCUAACACAUGCAAGUCGAACGAGAAAGUCCUUCGGGGCGAGUACAGUGGCGCACGGGUGAGGAACGCGUAGGUAAUCUACCCUCCGGCGGGGGACAACAUUCCGAAAGGAAUGCUAAUACCGCAUAAGACCACGCUUACUACGGUGAGAGUGGUAAAAGGCGCCUCAAAGCGCCACCAGAGGAUGAGCCUGCGUCCCAUCAGCUUGUUGGUAAGGUAACGGCUUACCAAGGCUAAGACGGGUAGCUGGUCUGAGAGGAUGAUCAGCCACACUGGCACUGGAACACGGGCCAGACUCCUACGGGAGGCAGCAGUGAGGAAUAUUGGGCAAUGGGCAAAAGCCUGACCCAGCCACGCCGCGUGUGUGAUGAAGGCCUUCGGGUCGUAAAGCACUGUGGGGAGAGACGAAACAGCGCAUCAGGAAAUGGUUGCGCCUUGACGGUACCUCCUUAGCAAGCACCGGCUAACUCUGUGCCAGCAGCCGCGGUAAUACAGAGGGUGCAAACGUUGCUCGGAUUUACUGGGCGUAAAGCGCGUGUAGGCGGACUCGCAAGUCGGUUGUGAAAUCCCUGGGCUCAACCUAGGAACUGCAUCCGAAACUGCUUGUCUUGAGUAAUGGAGAGGGUGGCGGAAUUCCCGGUGUAGAGGUGAAAUUCGUAGAUAUCGGGAGGAACAUCAGUGGCGAAGGCGGCCACCUGGACAUUUACUGACGCUGAGACGCGAAAGCGUGGGGAGCAAACAGGAUUAGAUACCCUG
rnacentral:rRNA from 1 species